rnacentral:tRNA from 1 species
GGAGAGUUGGCUGAGUGGACGAAAGCGCCUCACUGCUAACGAGGUAGGGGUUUAUAGCCCCUCGAGGGUUCGAAUCCCUCACUCUCCG